rnacentral:rRNA from 1 species
GAUCCUAGCUCAGGAUGAACGCUGGCGGCGCGCCUAACACAUGCAAGUCGAACGGACGAUGCCCCUUCGGGGACAAAGUCAGUGGCGGACGGGUGAGUAACGCGUGAGUAACCUGCCCUUAUGAGUGGAAUAACGUUUGGAAACGGACGCUAAUACCGCAUGACGCAGCGAUACGGCAUCGUAUUGCUGCCAAAGAUUUAUCGCAUAAGGAUGGACUCGCGUCCCAUUAGAUAGUUGGG